UGCAAGGGCACUCUGUGUUAUACAUUUUCCAUAUGUUACUCACAAUUUGUUACCUUGCUAUAGCAUAUCUACUAUAUCCUAUUCUGAAUGGACUUCAUGUCAUUUUGGUCAUAAUAGUAGAAACAUAAUUAUUGU